rnacentral:rRNA from 1 species
UACAGAGGUCUCAAGCGUUGUUCGGAUUCAUUGGGCGUAAAGGGUGCGUAGGUGGCGCGCUAAGUCAGGUGUGAAAUUUCGGAGCUUAACUCCGAAACUGCAUUUGAUACUGGCGUGCUUGAGGACUGGAGAGGAGACUGGAAUUUACGGUGUAGCGGUGAAAUGCGUAGAUAUCGUGAGGAAGACCAGUGGCGAAGGCGGAUCUCUGGACAGCUCCUGACGCUGAGGCGCGAAGGCUAGGGGAGCAAACGGG